GGUUAAGUUAGAAAGGGCGCACGGUGGAUGCCUUGGCACUAGGAGCCGAAGAAGGACGGGACUAACACCGAUAUGCUUUGGGGAGCUGUACGUAAGCGUUGAUCCAGAGAUUUCCGAAUGGGGGAACCCACUAUCUUUAGUCGGAUAGUAUCCUUACGUGAAUACAUAGCGUGAGGAAGGCAGACCCAGGGAACUGAAACAUCUAAGUACCUGGAGGAAGAGAAAGAAAAAUCGAUUUCCUGAGUAGCGGCGAGCGAAACGGAAAGAGCCCAAACCAAGAAGCUUGCUUCUUGGGGUUGUAGGACACUCUAUACGGAGUUACAAAAGAAAGUUAUAAAUGAAGCGGUCUGGAAAGGCCCGCCAAAGACGGUAACAGCCCGGUAGUUGAAAUGGCUUUCCCUCCAGAGUGGAUCCUGAGUACGGCGGAACACGUGAAAUUCCGUCGGAAUCCGGGAGGACCAUCUCCCAAGGCUAAAUACUCCCUAGUGACCGAUAGUGAACCAGUACCGUGAGGGAAAGGUGAAAAGCACCCCGGAAGGGGAGUGAAACAGUUCCUGAAACCGUGUGCCUACAAGUAGUUAGAGCCCGUUAAUGGGUGAUAGCGUGCCUUUUGUAGAAUGAACCGGCGAGUUACGAUUUGUUGCAAGGUUAAGCGGAAAAAGCGGAGCCGUAGCGAAAGCGAGUCUGAAUAGGGCGCAUAAGUAACAGGUCGUAGACCCGAAACCAGGUGAUCUACCCAUGUCCAGGAUGAAGGUAAGGUAAUACUUACUGGAGGUCCGAACCCACGCACGUUGAAAAGUGCGGGGAUGAGGUGUGGGUAGCGGAGAAAUUCCAAUCGAACUUGGAGAUAGCUGGUUCUCUCCGAAAUAGCUUUAGGGCUAGCCUCGAGGUAAAGAGUCAUGGAGGUAGAGCACUGUUUGGACUAGGGGCCCUUCUCGGGUUACCGAAUUCAGAUAAACUCCGAAUGCCAUGUACUUAUACUCGGGAGUCAGACUGCGAGUGAUAAGAUCCGUAGUCGAAAGGGAAACAGCCCAGACCACCAGUUAAGGUCCCCAAAUAUAUGUUAAGUGGAAAAGGAUGUGGGGUUGCUUAGACAACCAGGAUGUUGGCUUAGAAGCAGCCACCAUUGAAAGAGUGCGUAAUAGCUCACUGGUCGAGUGACCCCGCGCCGAAAAUGUACCGGGGCUAAACAUAUUACCGAAACUGUGGAUGAACCUCUUCGGAGGUUCGUGGUAGGAGAGCGUUCUAAGGGCGGUGAAGUCAGACCGGAAGGACUGGUGGAGCGCUUAGAAGUGAGAAUGCCGGUAUGAGUAGCGAAAGAAGGGUGAGAAUCCCUUCCACCGAAUAUCUAAGGUUUCCUGAGGAAGGCUCGUCCGCUCAGGGUUAGUCGGGACCUAAGCCGAGGCCGAUAGGCGUAGGCGAUGGACAACAGGUAGAGAUUCCUGUACCAGUGCUAAUUGUUUAACCGAUGGGGUGACACAGAAGGAUAGGGAAUCGCACGAAUGGAAAUGUGCGUCCAAGCAGUGAGUGUGAGAAGUAGGCAAAUCCGCUUCU
rnacentral:rRNA from 1 species